UCUUGGAGCUCAGGGCGAUCUCCCAGAAGUCAGCGGGGCUACUGCAGUUGCUGCUUCGGUCCCCAGUGUACUCCUGCCCAGAAGAGCCCAGCCCUGCCCACUACAGCUCUGGCACCUUCUGCCAGAGUACGAGGCACGAGGAUGGGGGCGAGCCGUGGCUGAGCCAAAUCCCCCCACCCCGCACCGCCACUGCCUUUCCUGCACCUUCUCGUAGAAGAGCCUCUCGAGCCGCCCGUCUUCCUUCUUCAGGGACAGCCAGCGCCCGCACAGGAACAGGAACUCGUCCUCGUUGGUGUCAUUCCAGAUCUCCACCUUUUCCACAUACCAGUCUGCACACCACUUGGUGUUGUCGUGGCGGAGCUUGAUCUUGUAGAUGACACCCAGAUAUUUGCUGUGCCUACAGCCUGGCUCCGUGGAUCUGGCCACAAAGAAACAGGGAUCUGUCAGCUGUGUGCUGCACGCUGCUGUCUUACAGUGCAUUCUCCACGUAUCCGCCCAGGCACCACUGAAGGCAGGGGAAGGUACCGCUCCCCGGUGUCCCCCAGAUCUCCAUAGAUGGUGAUGUAGACCUUGGCGUCCGUCCCUGCCCCUGGAACGUUUCCUGUGAAGAUCUGCACCGAGUACAGCACAACUGGGCGGGUAGUCAGACCGACGGACGGACAGAUGGACAGACAAAGAGAAGAAAAGAAUGGCAUUGCUUUAGGAUGGAGGGAACUGGAUUUGUAGGAGGUAUUAAGCCCUCCUUGGGGCCCCAAGGAGGAGUUAGCAUCUGCCUUUCAUUUGUUCACUUGUGCACAUUCUGCUACAAAUCUGCAAGGAUUCACCGGUGGGGGCGGCGGGGGAGGGAACGUCUGCCCACCCGAUCUGGACACGGCUGUCCUCUAAGACCCGGAGGAUGGAGGCUUCUCCCAGCAGCUCUCGAACCAUCCACCCAUCAGCUGCCUGCGCUUUGGGGGCGGGGGGGGGGGGGGCGAUGCAGGAGAUGGCCCAAGAUGUAUGUGCGCUGUGGUCACUACAUCUACCUGCCCUGACAUGCGACAAUAAUAUGCCUUCCCAUUUGGGGGUUCCCAGGACCCACACCAGUUGCUUCUAAACAGUCUUUGGAAAAAAAUCAAGUAUUUUUUUGAAAGUAUAGCUUCCCCAUAGUGUCCAUGUCCUUAUUUUUAUUUAUUCUUCAGCUCCCUGCCAUGCGGCACCUGCCCCCCGGUGACCACCACCCUCUCCUUCACCCGCUGUGGCCUGUGGCAAGGGCUCUGUGA